AUGCGCGUGGAUCAGAUUUUUGACAGCCACCGCUAUACGGAGGAGAAGAAGGUACGAUAUGCAUCCAUUGAGUUUACUGGAUAUGCUUUGAUUUGGUGGAACCAAUUGUGUCGUGCUGGAGGUCGUUCGGAGACAUGGGUGCAAAUGGAAAAUCUGUUGCGGAGACGGUUUGUUCCUGAACAUUUCACAAGAACCUUAUACAAUCGACUCCAACAGUUGUGCCAAGGUAAUUCUAGUGUUGAUGAGUACUAUAAAGAGAUGGAGAUUUUGAUGAUUAGGACAGCGGUGAAUGAGCCAGAGGAGGCCACAAUGUCAAGAUUCUUUCAUGGACUGAAUGAAGAUGUGCAAGAAAGGAUAGAGAUGGUCACAUAUCAAGAUUUGCAAGAAUUUGUGCAUCAAGCUAUUCGUGUAGAGCAGCAGCUGAAGCGUCGCCAAAAUCGCAGCCAAACCUAUACAUCAAGCACUUGGAGAGGUUCAGCUCAGCGAGAAGUAGACGGAAGUGUCGCUGCAGAUUUUUGCUCACACAACAAGAUGACUACAAAGGAAGCUAAUGCAUCAAAGGUUGAAUCUUCCAAUACUCCUGCCACCCGCAUUAGUAAUAUUCAGUGCCAUACAUGCAAGGGUAGAGGUCACUUCAAGAAGGAUUGUCCUAAUCUGAAGAAGGUGUUACUCACAAAUGAUGAAUAUGUCAUCGAUGACUCAAGUGACAAAUCUGAAUCUGAGAAGAAAGAUGCGAAUUAUUGUACUUUUGAGAUCGGAGCACCUCUGAGUUCAGAUGGAGGAGAUGGUGUUAAUCUCAUGGUUCGCAAAGUGGCUCAUGAUGAUGCUCCUAUUAUUGAGAAGGGCCAGCGACAAAAUGUGUUCCAAUCCAUUUGCAAGAUCAAGGACAAAAACUGCAAGGUGGUCAUCGAUGGAGGCAGCUACAACAACAUCAUUAGUAGUGAUCUUGUGCAUGCUCCUGGGAUAUCAACAUGGAGGCAGCCCCAGCCAUAUUAUGUGAAGUGGCUGAAUGGUGUUGGUAAGCUGAAGAUUACGCAUCGUGCUAGGGCGCAAUUUUUAGUGGGAAGUUAUGUGGACAAAGUGGUAUGUGAUGUGGUGCCAAUGCAAGCUUGUCAUCUUCUUUUGGGAAGACCGUGGCAGUUUGAUCAUGAUGCUACUCACCAUGGGAGGUCUAACAAGUAUUCUUUCAUGCAUCAAGGAGUGAACCAUGUCUUGGAACCUAUGGUGGAUCAAGUACUCAAGGUUGAGCAAUUCCCACAAGUGAAGAAGCCCAAAAAGAAUACCUCAAAACCAAGGACGGUUUUGUUUGAAGGAAGGGAGGAUGAUGUGGACCAGAUCAUGACCAAGGCAUCCAAGAGUGAGGUUAAUGCUAGCACAAAUGCUGAACCAUUAGAGCAUCUAAAGGAAGACAAGGGCAAAACCAUUAUCUUAGUUGGGAAGCUUCCGGUGCCUAUUUUGGGAGAAAUGACACAUCAGAUUUCCAGCAGCAACUUCCCACCUAAACCUAAUUAA
rnacentral:rRNA from 1 species